rnacentral:rRNA from 1 species
CCUACGGGUGGCUGCAGUGGGGAAUAUUGGACAAUGGGGGCAACCCUGAUCCAGCCAUGCCGCGUGUGUGAAGAAGGCCCUCGGGUUGUAAAGCACUUUCAGUGAGGAAGAACGCCUGGUGGUUAAUACCCAUCAGGAAAGACAUCACUCACAGAAGAAGCACCGGCUAACUCCGUGCCAGCAGCCGCGGUAAUACGGAGGGUGCGAGCGUUAAUCGGAAUUACUGGGCGUAAAGCGCGCGUAGGUGGCUUGAUAAGCCGGUUGUGAAAGCCCCGGGCUCAACCUGGGAACGGCAUCCGGAACUGUCAAGCUAGAGUGCAGGCGAGGAAGGUAGAAUUCCCGGUGUAGCGGUGAAAUGCGUAGAGAUCGGGAGGAAUACCAGUGGCGAAGGCGGCCUUCUGGACUGACACUGACACUGAGGUGCGAAAGCGUGGGUAGCAAACAGGAUUAGAUACCCCUGUAGUC